rnacentral:tRNA from 1 species
AGCUCACGGACAUCCUGGACGUUGAGCAUCGCCUUGCCAAGGUGAGGGUCGCGAGUUCGAGUCUCGUCAUCC